GCUGACACGUCCCGCCCAAUCUCCAGCAGACCCUCCCUCCCAGACCCUCCUACUUCCUGGACAGCAUCCAUGUUGAAGGCAGCUUCAACAUGGAUGCUGUCCAGGAGGUGGGAGGGUCUGGGAGGGAGGGUCUGCCGGAGAUUGGCAGGGAUGUGUCAC
rnacentral:miRNA from 1 species